AUGGGGGCAGGGAGGCAUGUGUGCAGCGUCUUUUCCACAAAAUACUUCGUAGAUAUCUUGAGGGGUAUGUCCAGUGGCCGGAAGGAUGUCAUCUCAAAAUACGGGUUUGAGCCUCUUCUGAAAUUUGAGAAAACUGGUAUCCCAUCACGAUUUGUCCGCUAUAUUGUCGAAUGUGUAGACACAGUGUCAUCUCAAAUCAUUGUUGCUGAUGAGAAGAUCAUUCCUAUCUCAAAGGAUUCAGUUCCUUGUGUGUUGGGCCUGCUAGACAGUGGUGAUUUAGCGACACAAGACAAGGAUAGUGGGAGGAACUUCAUUUUGUCUCGGUUCAGCUUGAGAGAAAUGCCAAACAUUACUUUCUUUGGAGACAUGCUCAUAUCUUCUGAUUUUCACAGCGAGGAAGGCACUUUCAUAUGCUUCAUGGUGAUCGCAAUGUCGUGCUUCCUUUUUCCAUCUUCCAGCGAUCAGAUUCACAUUGAGUUUUUGACCUUGCUUGUUAAUCCAAAGCGCACAAGUGGUUUUGAUUUCUGUGCGCUUGUGUAUGAUUGGAUACUCACUGGCAUCAACAAGUUUGUGAUUUCUGGCAGAGUACCUGGCAGGAAACCAGAGGUGUUUUGA
rnacentral:rRNA from 1 species